GAUCAUGGCUCAGGAUGAACGCUAGCUACGGGCUUAACACAUGCAAGUCGAGGGGCAUCAGGGUGUAGCAAUACACCGCUGGCGACCGGCGCACGGGUGAGUAACACGUAUCCAACCUGCCCUUUACUCGGGGAUAGCCUUUCGAAAGAAAGAUUAAUACCCGAUGGCAUAACAUGACCUCCUGGUUUUGUUAUUAAAGAAUUUCGGUAGAGGAUGGGGAUGCGUUCCAUUAGGCAGUUGGCGGGGUAACGGCCC
rnacentral:rRNA from 1 species